rnacentral:ncRNA from 1 species
GGUGGCCUGCAAGGCCCUAACAGGGAAGCCGGUGAAAAUCCGGAACUGUGCCCGCAGCUGUGAAGUCCAUCCAACGGCUCCGAACCAUGCCAUUGAGAAAUCGAGAAGGCCGGAGCCGGGAUCAGUCAGAAGACCUGCCUUCAUCA